AACGAACGCUGGCGGCAGGCCUAACACAUGCAAGUCGAGCGCACCUUCGGGUGAGCGGCGGACGGGUUAGUAACGCGUGGGAACAUACCCUUUUCUACGGAAUAGCCUCGGGAAACUGAGAGUAAUACCGUAUACGCCCUUCGGGGGAAAGAUUUAUCGGUGAAGGAUUGGCCCGCGUUUGAUUAGAUAGUUGGUGGGGUAAUGGCCUACCAAGUCUACGAUCAAUAGCUGGUUUGAGAGGAUGAUCAGCAACACUGGGACUGAGACACGGCCCAGACUCCUACGGGAGGCAGCAGUGGGGAAUCUUAGACAAUGGGCGCAAGCCUGAUCUAGCCAUGCCGCGUGAGUGACGAAGGCCUUAGGGUCGUAAAGCUCUUUCGCCAGG
rnacentral:rRNA from 1 species